CUUGGUGAUUUGACGCAGUGGCACCACCUCUUCCCAUUCCGAACAGAGAAGUGAAACGCUGUAGUGCCGAUGAUACUAUUUUUUAAUGGGAAAGUAGGUAGUCGCCAGGA
rnacentral:rRNA from 1 species